rnacentral:rRNA from 1 species
UGGGGAAUAUUGUGCAAUGAACGAAAGUUUGACACAGCGACACCGCGUGUGGGAUGACGGAUCUAGGUUUGUAAACCACUUUCAGGAGGGAAGAAAAUGACGGUACCUCCACAAGAAGCCCCGGCCAACUACGUGCCAGCAGCCGCGGUAAUACGUAGGGGGCGAGCGUUGUCCGGAUCUAUUGGGCGUAAAGAGCUCGUAGGCGGUUCAACAAGUCGGUAGUAAAAGUUCAGGGCUCAACCCUGAAAUGUCUAUCGAUACUGUUGUGACUAGGAUACGGCAGAGGUGAGUGGAAUUCCGAGUGUAGCGGUGAAAUGCGUAGAUAUUCGGAGGAACACCAAUUGCGAAGGCAGCUCACUGGGCCGCUAUCGACGCUGAGGAGCGAAAGCUAGGGGAGCAAACAGGAUUAGAUACCCUGGUAGUCCUAGCUGUAAACGAUGGAUACUAGACGUAGGAACUGGAUUGACGGUUUCUGUGUCGUAGCUAACGCGUUAAGUAUCCCGCCUGGGGAGUACGGUCGCAAGACUA